AUGACGGUGGCGGUGUGCCAUGUCAUGCCGCCGGCGCUGGACGUCGCUGCUCACACUCACACUCGCAUGCCGGCGUCGAUGCCGCCGCCGCCGCAGCUGGACAUGUGGAGCGCCAUGCAGACCCCGGCCGAGGACGUCUGCGCCACCAAGACCCCGACGCCGCCGGCCAAGGCCAAGGUCACCUACCCGAUGGCGACGGUCCGGCGGUCCAUGAGCCACGAGAGCCUCAGCCUCUGCACCGAGAGCGUCGGCUGCGAGACCGGCACCCGCGACGACUUCCUCGACCUGUCAUCCAUCCUCUACGCACCGCCACCGACCCACCAGACCGAGGAUACCGUUACCGGGGACUUCUUCUCGCCGCUGGCAUUGCAAGAAGACGAGGAGGAGGAGGAGGAGGAGGCGAUGGGGGAGGUGCCCCUUAGGGAGGUACAGUACCACCGCGCUCGGCCGCAGCGCGCGUUCCCGCCGCCUCUGCCGUCCAUGUCUCGCCGCGGCGGUGACGACGGCGGACCGUCCCUGCGGGUGCGCCCGCACCGCCGAGACGGGCGCCUCGUGCUGGAGGCCGUGGCCACGAAGCCCCAGGGGUACCUCCAUGCCCAGCGCCAGGACGGCCGCCUCAAGCUCUGUUUCGUGGAGUGCUCCCCUGCCUCGGGAUCUGUUCUCCACCACCAGAAGCAGAGCAUGGUGCAACAGCCACACCAAGAACACAAUAGCGUCGACGAGGAAGACGAUGUCUUCGAGGAGGAGGAGGACGAGGUGGAGGUGGUAGACAGGGGCACGGUGGUGGAGGUAGUGGCGGCGUCCGGCAAAGCGCAGCGGUGCUCGAGGAUCGUCAUCAACAAGUUCGUGGGCGGCGCGCCGGCCAACACAGACGACGCGUCCCCAUCGCGCUGCUGCAGAACUACCGUCGACGAAUUAGCCGCUCCGACCGUGACGCCUGGGCUGCGCCGGGUCCCGUCGUCCACGACGACGCUGGCGGCCGCGGUGGCCGCCGCGUCCACGGGCAUGCAGUCCGACGAGGAGGACGAGGAAGAGGUCGACGACGAGGAGAAGCGGAGCGUGCCGCUGCUGUUCACGUCGCGGGUGGGGGACAGGGAGGAGCUGGUGCAAAGCGUGCGGCGGUGCCGGCAGCUCCGGCGGAGGCCGCUCUUCAUCGUGGAGCCAUACUCCAUCAUCGCCACCUAA
rnacentral:rRNA from 1 species